AGUGAACGCUGGCGGUAGGCCUAACACAUGCAAGUCGAACGGCAGCACAGUAAGAGCUUGCUCUUACGGGUGGCGAGUGGCGGACGGGUGAGGAAUACAUCGGAAUCUACUUUUUCGUGGGGGAUAACGUAGGGAAACUUACGCUAAUACCGCAUACGACCUACGGGUGAAAGCAGGGGAUCUUCGGACCUUGCGCGAUUGAAUGAGCCGAUGUCGGAUUAGCUAGUUGGCGGGGUAAAGGCCCACCAAGGCGACGAUCCGUAGCUGGUCUGAGAGGAUGAUCAGCCACACUGGAACUGAGACACGGUCCAGACUCCUACGGGAGGCAGCAGUGGGGAAUAUUGGACAAUGGGCGCAAGCCUGAUCCAGCCAUACCGCGUGAGUGAAGAAGGCCUUCGGGUUGUAAAGCCCUUUUGUUGGGAAAGAAAAGCAGCAGGUUAAUACCCCGCUGUUUUGACGGUACCCAAAGAAUAAGCACCGGCUAACUUCGUG
rnacentral:rRNA from 1 species